rnacentral:rRNA from 1 species
AGGAUGAACGCUAGCGGCAGGCUUAACACAUGCAAGUCGAGGGGUAUUUAUCUUCGGAUAGAGAGACCGGCGCACGGGUGCGUAACGCGUAUGCAAUCUACCUUUUACAGAGGGAUAGCCCAGAGAAAUUUGGAUUAAUACCUCAUAGUAUAUAGACUUGGCAUCAGGAUUAUAUUAAAGUCACAACGGUAAAAGAUGAGCAUGCGUCCCAUUAGCUAGUUGGUAAGGUAACGGCUUACCAAGGCUACGAUGGGUAGGGGUCCUGAGAGGGAGAUCCCCCACACUGGUACUGAGACACGGACCAGACUCCUACGGGAGGCAGCAGUGAGGAAUAUUGGACAAUGGGCGCAAGCCUGAUCCAGCCAUGCCGCGUGCAGGAUGACGGUCCUAUGGAUUGUAAACUGCUUUUAUACGAGAAGAAACACUACUUCGUGAAGUAGCUUGACGGUAUCGUAAGAAUAAGGAUCGGCUAACUCCGUGCCAGCAGCCGCGGUAAUACGGAGGAUCCAAGCGUUAUCCGGAAUCAUUGGGUUUAAAGGGUCCGUAGGCGGUUUAAUAAGUCAGUGGUGAAAGCCCAUCGCUCAACGGUGGAACGGCCAUUGAUACUGUUAGACUUGAAUUAUUAGGAAGUAACUAGAAUAUGUAGUGUAGCGGUGAAAUGCUUAGAGAUUACAUGGAAUACCAAUUGCGAAGGCAGGUUACUACUAAUUGAUUGACGCUGAUGGACGAAAGCGUGGGUAGCGAACAGGAUUAGAUACCCUGGUAGUCCACGCCGUAAACGAUGGAUACUAGCUGUUGGGAGCAAUCUCAGUGGCUAAGCG